GAAAAAUUAAGAUCUCUCAUGGAUGAAGAAUCCGAUUUGCUGAUGUUUAAUGGUUUCUUUGAGAAAAAGCAGAGCAGAGACUUAGUAUUAGAGAUAUGUUGGGCCGGAAGAUAUGUAUCUUACGGACCAAGUCUGUGAAGCCUGUGAAACCCAUGAAGACCCUCAAGAAUAAAAGGAAAGAUUUGAAGAACAAGUUACUCUCAAAAUAUUUUAGCAUAUUUACAUUAAGUGUUUAGGAAAGUUAGCAUUAUCUAGUGUUAACAUUAUGUUAAUGUUACCACUAUAUACAUGCAUAUUGUAUUCUCUUAUUAAACACAAUACAAUAAUAUAUCUAUUCUAUUAUAUUUUACAUGGUAUCAGAGCAGACGAUUCGUAGGGAUCAAAAUUAAGCUUUCGCGUUAUAAGUUUUAAACUUCGAAGAUGCUUACCAUCGGUGGUGUUGAUGAUGGCAAAGAAGGUGGUGACGACGAUUCAGACGAAGACGUCAACGUAUACGUCAAGUUCUCUCAUUAGGGAUACUUCUUAAUAAUAAGUAUUAGGGUUUUGUUAAGUACGUUAUCUAAGUCAAAGGAUUUUUUAUUUUUUUUUAUUUUGGUGAAUGCUUGAGAAUUAUUGAGGGUUAAGGUUUGUAGUUUCACAUGGGUUAUUUUCUAUCUGAGAUUUUUCUAUAGUUUAGAAUUUCUCAACAGUUGUUUUCUCAUGGGAUUUAUUGGUUAUAGUUUAACCAUUACAGGGGAGUUCUAGUUGAACGUUCAAAUUCUUAGGUCAGUUUUUUUUAGUCCGUGUUAUGGACUGUCCAAGUCAAGGAUAAUUGUUUAUGGAGCUGCAGUUGCGCCCACGAGAUGUAUUCUCAUUGUCAAGACCGAAGAAGAGCUGAAGAUUUCAUCCCUCCUUGUCUAAGUUGAAGUUUAUUCCCGAAGGAAUCUACUGAUUUGUUUUCUUCGACAUAGUGUCCACGACAUACGUGGUCUGCUUUGUGAUUGCAGAUUUGCGUGUUGCAUCCCACGUUUGUCGUGCGGGGGAGUAUUAGAGAUAUGUUGGGCCGGAAGAUAUGUAUCUUACGGACCAAGUCUGUGAAGCCUGUGAAACCCAUGAAGACCCUCAAGAAUAAAAGGAAAGAUUUGAAGAACAAGUUACUCUCAAAAUAUUUUAGCAUAUUUACAUUAAGUGUUUAGGAAAGUUAGCAUUAUCUAGUGUUAACAUUAUGUUAAUGUUACCACUAUAUACAUGCAUAUUGUAUUCUCUUAUUAAACACAAUACAAUAAUAUAUCUAUUCUAUUAUAUUUUA